ACGUGAGUGUGUAGCAACAUUGACCAGUAUCCAUUCAAUUCUAUUUUUUAAUUUUGGUGUGUGAUGUUUCUUCUUCGUCGUCUGGAUUUCUCUUGAAGGUUGGCAAACUUUAAGGUGCACUACCGAAACCUGUUGAUGUCAGGUGGGCUUUCUGGGCUUCACAGUGAGCUGUUCAGUGAUGAACCGGAAUCCGAACAGAUAACAGUUCUGGAUCCCAUGAAUUCAUUUCUGUGCUCCUUUCACAAUCAUUUUGUCUUCCUAUUUAAAGUCUGAAUUGUGACUGAUGUUUCUGUACACAUAAUGGACAGAAUUAAAACUCAGCCUGUUAAACUGAA